UACGUAGGGUGCUAGCGUUGUCCGGAUUUAUUGGGCGUAAAGGGUGCGUAGGUGGCCUGUUAAGUCAGGGGUGAAAGACGGUAGCUCAACUAUCGCAGUGCCCUUGAUACUGAUGGGCUUGAAUGAACUAGAGGUAGGCGGAAUGUGACAAGUAGCGGUGAAAUGCAUAGAUAUGUCACAGAACACCAAUUGCGAAGGCAGCUUACUAUGGUUUUAUUGACACUGAGGCACGAAAGCGUGGGGAUCAAACAGG
rnacentral:rRNA from 1 species